AAUCCGUAGGUGAACCUGCGGAGGGAUCAUUA
rnacentral:rRNA from 1 species